rnacentral:rRNA from 1 species
UAGGGCAAGUCUGGUGCCAGCAGCCGCGGUAAUUCCAGCUCCAAUAGCGUAUAUUAAAGUUGUUGCAGUUAAAAAGCUCGUAGUUGAAUUUCGGGAUCAGUAUGUUGGUCGUGCUUCGGUACGUACUGUCAUUACUGGUUUCUCCCUUCUGAAGAACCAUGAUGUCAUUAAUUUGGUGUCAUGGGGAAUCAGGACUGUUACUUUGAAAAAAUUAGAGUGUUUAAAGCAGGC